rnacentral:rRNA from 1 species
UACGAAGGGGGCUAGCGUUGCUCGGAAUCACUGGGCGUAAAGCGCACGUAGGCGGACUCUUAAGUCGGUGGUGAAAUCCUGGAGCUCAACUCCAGAACUGCCUCCGAUACUGAGAGUCUCGAGUCCGGGAGAGGUGAGUGGAACUGCGAGUGUAGAGGUGAAAUUCGUAGAUAUUCGCAAGGACACCAGUGGCGAAGGCGGCUCACUGGCCCGGUACUGACGCUGAGGUGCGAAAGCGUGGGGAGCAAACAGG